CCCUUAGAUGUUCUGGGCCGCACGCGCACUACACUGACGAUGGCAACGAGUUUUUCCUUCGCCGAAAGGUGUGGGUAAUCUUUUGAAACAUCGUCGUGCUGGGGAUAGAUCAUUGCAAUUUUUGAUCUUGAACGAGGAAUUCCUAGUAAGCGCGAGUCAUCAGCUCGCGUUGAUUACGUCCCUGCCCUUUGUACACACCGCCCGUCGCUACUACCGAUUGAAUGGUUUAGUGAGGACUCCUGAUUGGCGCCGCCGCCCCGGCAACGGAGCAGCGGACUGCCGAAAAGUUGUUCAAACUUGAUCAUUUAGAGGAAGUAAAAGUCGUAACA
rnacentral:rRNA from 1 species